AAUCGCCCUAGAGUUGAUCCUGGCUCAGAUUGAACGCUGGCGGCAUGCUUACACAUGCAAGUCGAACGGUAACAGGGAGCUUGCUCCGCUGACGAGUGGCGAACGGGUGAGUAAUAUAUCGGAACGUACCCAAGAGUGGGGGAUAACGUAGCGAAAGUUACGCUAAUACCGCAUACGAUCUAAGGAUGAAAGCAGGGGACCUUCGGGCCUUGUGCUCCUGGAGCGGCCGAUAUCUGAUUAGCUAGUUGGUGAGGUAAAGGCUCACCAAGGCGACGAUCAGUAGCUGGUCUGAGAGGACGACCAGCCACACUGGAACUGAGACACGGUCCAGACUCCUACGGGAGGCAGCAGUGGGGAAUUUUGGACAAUGGGCGCAAGCCUGAUCCAGCAAUGCCGCGUGAGUGAAGAAGGCCUUCGGGUUGUAAAGCUCUUUUGUCAGGGAAGAAACGGGAUUGGCUAAUAUCCAAUCCUAAUGACGGUACCUGAAGAAUAAGCACCGGCUAACUACGUGCCAGCAGCCGCGGUAAUACGUAGGGUGCAAGCGUUAAUCGGAAUUACUGGGCGUAAAGCGUGCGCAGGCGGUUUUGUAAGUCUGUCGUGAAAUCCCCGGGCUCAACCUGGGAAUUGCGAUGGAGACUGCAAGGCUAGAAUCUGGCAGAGGGGGGUAGAAUUCCACGUGUAGCAGUGAAAUGCGUAGAGAUGUGGAGGAACACCGAUGGCGAAGGCAGCCCCCUGGGUCAAGAUUGACGCUCAUGCACGAAAGCGUGGGGAGCAAACAGGAUUAGAUACCCUGGUAGUCCACGCCCUAAACGAUGUCUACUAGUUGUCGGGUUUUAAUUAACUUGGUAACGCAGCUAACGCGUGAAGUAGACCGCUGGGGGAAUACGGUCGCAAGAUUA
rnacentral:rRNA from 1 species